rnacentral:rRNA from 1 species
UACGAAGGGGGCUAGCGUUGUUCGGAGUUACUGGGCGUAAAGGGCGCGUAGGCGGCGCAUCAAGUCAGGCGUGAAAGCCCUGGGCUCAACCCGGGAAUUGCGCUUGAGACUGGUGUGCUUGAGUACGGGAGAGGAUAGUGGAAUUCCCAGUGUAGAGGUGAAAUUCGUAGAUAUUGGGAAGAACACCAGUGGGCGAAAGGCGGCUAUCUGGGACCGUAACUGACGCUGAGGCGCGAAAGCGUGGGGAGCAAACAGG